rnacentral:rRNA from 1 species
CCUACGGGAGGCAGCAGUGGGGAAUAUUGGACAAUGGGCGAAAGCCUGAUCCAGCCAUGCCGCGUGUGUGAAGAAGGCCUUCGGGUUGUAAAGCACUUUCAGUGGGGAAGAAAGCCUUGGGGCUAAUACCCUCGAGGAAGGACAUCACCCACAGAAGAAGCACCGGCUAACUCCGUGCCAGCAGCCGCGGUAAUACGGAGGGUGCGAGCGUUAAUCGGAAUUACUGGGCGUAAAGCGCGCGUAGGCGGUCUGAUAAGCCGGUUGUGAAAGCCCCGGGCUCAACCUGGGAACGGCAUCCGGAACUGUCAAGCUAGAGUCGCGUAGAGGGAGGUAGAAUUCCCGGUGUAGCGGGGAAAUGCGUAGAGAUCGGGAGGAAUACCAGUGGCGAAGGCGGACUCCUGGACGGACACUGACGCUGAGGUGCGAAAGCGUGGGUAGCAAACAGGAUUAGAUACCCCGGUAGUC